CGAGGUGAUUGGAUAGCUGCCCUACGGGGAGGAAAGUCCGAGCUUCAAGGGAACAAGGUACCAGAUAACGUCUGGCUGGAGCAAUCCAAGGGAAAGUGUCACAGAAAAUUACCGCCAUGUUUUUUCAUGGUAAGGUUGAAAAGGUGAGGUAAGAGCUUACCGCGAAGGUGGCAACAUCUUCGGUCAAGAUAAACCCUACCUGAAGCAAGACCAAGUUAGGACACUAAAAGGACGGUUCCCAGUCCUGUCCAGAGGUAGGUCGCGUUGAGCCUGACAGUGAUGUCUGGCCCAGAUGAAUAGCUAUCGUCUCGCAAGAGAUACAGAACUCGGCUUAUAAAUCACCUCAUUAA
rnacentral:RNase_P_RNA from 1 species